GGAAUGGGGGGCGGCGGCCGAGAGGAGAGGAGUAUUUAGGAGAGAAGGCGGCAGAGAGAGAUUGAGAAUGGGGUGAGGAGCCCAAGAGUUCCAUGGCCUCCACUUCCCGUCGCCAACGCCGAGAGCGUCGCUUCCGUCGCUAUUUGUCUGCAGGACGGCUGGUCCGGGCCCAAGCCCUCCUCCAGCGACACCCAGGCCUUGAUGUAGAUGCUGGGCAGCCCCCACCUCUGCACCGGGCCUGCGCCCGCCACGAUGCCCCUGCCCUGUGCCUGCUGCUUCGGCUUGGGGCUGACCCUGCCCACCAGGACCGCCACGGGGACACGGCGCUGCAUGCCGCUGCCCGUCAGGGCCCUGAUGCCUACACGGAUUUCUUCCUGCCACUGCUGAGUCGCUGUCCCUCUGCCAUGGGAAUAAAGAAUAAGGAUGGGGAGACCCCAGGGCAGAUUCUGGGCUGGGGACCCCCCUGGGAUUCUGCUGAGGAGGAGGAGGAAGAUGAGGCCUCUAAGGAACGGGAAUGGAGACAGAAGCUGCAGGGAGAGCUGGAGGAUGAGUGGCAGGAGGUCAUCGGGAGAUUUGAAGAUGAUGCUUCCCAUGAGACCCAGGAACCCGAGUCCUUCUCAGCCUGGUCAGAUCGCAUGGCUCAGGAACAUGCCCAGAAGCGCCAGCAGCAGCAGCGUGAGGCAGAGGGAACCUGCCGACCCCCACGGGCUGAGGGCUCCGGGCACAGCUGGCGGCAGCAGGAGGAGGAGCAGCGGCUCUUCCGAGAGCGAGCCCAGGCCAAGGAGGAAGAACUGCGUGAGAGCCGAGCCAGGAGGGCACAGGAGGCACUCGGGGAUCGAGCUCCGGAGCCAGCCAGAGCCGGGCCCCGGGCAGAGCACCCCAGAGGUGCAGGGCGGGGCAGACUCUGGCGCUUUGGUGAUGUGCCUUGGCCCUGCCCUGGGGGAGGGGACCCAGAAGCCAUGGCUGCAGCACUGGUGGCCAGGGGUCCCCCCUUGGAGGAACAGGGGGCUCUGAGGAGGUACUUGAGGGUCCAGCAGGUCCGUUGGCACCCUGACCGCUUCCUGCAGCGAUUCCGAAGCCAGAUUGAGACCUGGGAGCUGGGCCGAGUGAUGGGAGCCGUGACAGCCCUUUCUCAGGCCCUGAAUCGCCACGCAGAAGCCCUCAAGUGACCCUGAGGGGAGAGCAAGAAACUGCAGGAAGGGCAGGACAGUAGGAAGGUUAAGGUCAGGAGGCCAGUACCAAAGGGCAGAGGAUAUGGGGUGGGAGCAAAACUUGUAAUGAGUGGGGGUGGGGGGACACGGGCCACCACCCUGCUCCUUGACUCUGCCAUUUCCUAAUAAGACCUGGUUCCACAUUGCACACCCGGUGUCUCCUCUGCCUUUUUCCAUCACUGUGGUUUUCAUCACCCAUGACUUCUCAUUUCCCACUCCACAUGCCAAAACCCACAGCUUCUAUUCACCUGCACCAUGCAGGCACACAAUGACUGGUGCCCUCUGCUGCAGACUAGAAGCCCCCUGCCCACCCACCCAGAAGGGCGGUGCUAAGAGGACCCAGAUUGCCUGCCCUCCAGUCUCUCCACUUCCCAUGCUGGGCUCCUCUCCACUCUUCAGUCAGCGGUUGGAGAAAUAGAUGUGAACAGAGGCAAAAAGGGGAACAAAGCUAGUUUCCCUCCCCUCCCCAGCCGGAACCACAUCCUCCUCCCCACUUAACACCCUCUUCCCCCAACACAGGGCUUUCCCUCUGCUGAGUCAUUGAAUGAUCUGAAUUGGGGGCAGCUGGAGCUGGGGGACUAUGAGAACGUGGUUGGAGGAUGGGGGAUAGAAGCAGAGAAGAGAGGGGAAGAGUCCUUGUGGGGGAGUGGAAUUUCAGUUACUAAAAUUAGGAGCAGGGGAAGGAGGCGGAAAGAGCCAAAUUAUGUAACCUGGGUUGUCUGUUCUUGGGCAACCAGAGAUCCACACCCGAGGCCAUCAGUCACCUCAGGCUUCUCAGUCCUGACUCUCCUCCUUCAGGGCUCCAGUUCUCAACUCCUCCAGCCAGCUUCUGCCCCCAUCUCAAACCUGGGCUCCAUCUCUGGGUAGCCCAGUCUUGACCUUCCAGAUAAACAUCUCCCUUUUCCUGAGGUUGAAGAAAAGGUCCUGACGGGUGGUGGGAGAGGGUCUAGGGUUUCUAAGGCGGGAGGUGGGGGGAGCAUCAUCUCUUCCACUCUUCAAACUCAGUCCCUUCUUCAGCUCCCUUGAACUAGGAUAGGAAGUUGCAGACGGCUCCAGACCCUAUGCCACCGGUGGAAUCCCACAGUACUGGCAGGACACAGCAGGAACUCAAGGGCAGGACUCGGGAGAAUAUGGGCGCGUGCCAUCACGUGCGCAGUCCACACAUGUCUGCAUCAGAGAAUGUUGUGAAUCAGAACUUAUUUUUCAGGUUUGGAAUGGAAUGCCGGUCUACACAGGAUAAUCCCAGUAGGGGAGGCAGACCUAAUCAACUGAUUCAAGGCAUGCUGAGUGAACUGGAUAGAGUAAGGUACAGUGGAUGUAGAAGGUGGGGUGGUGGGGUGGGUGUUCCAUCUGUAAGCACCCAGCAGGCUCUGAAGGAGGAGAGGGCAUUUGAUGAACAGGUGGGAUUUGUGGGGGAGGGGGUGAGUGAAAGGGCCCCAGAGAGGAGUGGAACAGCUUGAGCAGUGGCUGAGAGUCAGAAAACUAUCUUCAGGAAAGGCGAGCAUCCUGAGGUAGGUGGAGUGCAGGUGUGAGGGAGCAUGUGUUAAGGAAAGGACAAAGAAUGUCAUGGUAAGGGGUGUGGACCUGGCAGGCAGUGGCACUGUGAUGGCUGUAGAGAAGCGGGGCAAGGGGCUGCUUCAGGUGUACAGACAAGGAGUAAAGGAAACAGGUGCCUUGGGCCGUGGGGGGAAACAUGCUAUGUGUUAACCAUGUCACACCCUUUUCCCAACAUCAGAAUCCUGCCGGCAACUGUCCAGAAGAUCUCCGUUAUAGAUGAGACUGAGGCUCAUAAAUGUACUGUAACUUACAAUCACACAGCUACAAAGUAGUGGAAUUAGCAUUAAACUCAUUUUACCCCAAA